GAUGAACGUUGGCGGCGUGCCUAAUACAUGCAAGUCGAACGGAGACGGUAGCAAUACGGUCUCAGUGGCGAACGGGUGAGUAACGCGUUGGUGACCUGCCCCGAAGUGUGGAAUAACAGAUCGAAAGAGCUGCUAAUACCGCAUAAUAUCCAGAAGAUUAGAUGCUUUUGGAUUAAAGGAUUUAUUCGCUUCGGGAGGGGCCUGCGUCCCAUCAGCUAGUUGGUAAGGUAAAGGCUUACCAAGGCUAUGACGGGUAGGGGACCUGAGAGGGUGGCCCCCCACAAUGGAACUGAAACACGGUCCAUACACCUACGGGUGGCAGCAGUAGGGAAUAUUAGUAAUGGGCGAAAGCCUGAACUAGCAACGCCGCGUGUGCGAAGAAGGCCUUCGGGUUGUAAAGCACUUUUUGAGAGGAUGAGGAAGGACGGUACUCUCAGAAUAAGUCUCGGCUAACUACGUG
rnacentral:rRNA from 1 species